UGUUGUUUUCCUUUUUUAUGGGUUUUGUUUUCCCAUAUUUAUCAAAAUAUUGCUUUUAUAUCCCAUAUUUUUUUGUAUACGUUUUUUUUUUCUAUAGGGGUAUUUUUAUGAGUAAAUUUUUGUCUUUUUAUUUUUAUUAUUAUUUUUAUUAUUUUGGUAAACAUUUUUGUAAGAAAAUUUUAAUUCAGUAGUGGUUUAUUAUGCAUUUAUGUGUAUUUUUGUGAGGGCUUUUUAGUCAUUUUAUGUGUUUUUUUUAUUAUUUUAUUUUAUUUUAUUUUUGAAUUUUUUUUGUAAGGAAAUCAAUUCCUAGUAUGCAUGCAGGUACUUGAGUACCCAGCCUCUAUCACGUUUUUAUCUUCUUCACGUUUUCUGAAUUUUAUUAGUAUAUUUUAUUAAGUAUCACGUUUUCUUCAGUGGUGAUUUGUGUUCUUAGUUUUCGUUCUUGUGUUAGGGUUUAUUUGAGUUCUUUGUUGUCGAUUUUCUGCCCUCUGUGCGUGUGUUUCGUCUCGGUGAGUACCUGGUUUCAGGAUUUUUAUAAGUUUCUCGUUGUGGAUUUGUGCCUCUUUGUGGUGUUUUCGUAUCGUGCAUUGAUAUUUCUCUUGCUCGAAUUUGUGUGAUGGAUCACUGUGGUGAAUGCGGUGGUGUUUCUGGUUCGGAGAAGAAAAUUUCUGGUAUAGUAGAGGAUGAAUCGAAGAAUGUAGGGGAUGAUAUUUGCGAGAUUCUUCCUCGAAGGAGUAACAUUACACAUUUGAAGUCUGUUGCAAGGAAGAAGAGUAAAUCCCCUUCCUCUGUUGCAAGGAAGACAAGUAAAUCGCCUUCCACUGUUAAACAGGCGAAGGAUUCGUGUGCAUCUGGUAGUAAGGAUGCUGGAGAUGAUUCUCAUGAGACUAAACAUGUUGGGGUAUGUGUUUAUUUUUUUAAUUAUUAUAAUAUAAAAUUGUUCAUCUGUUUAUGUUUCUGUUGUUGUGUUUCACAUUGGGUGGAUUCUGUUUGUUUUAUUUUUUUAUGGUUGUGUAUUUGGUUUCUUGUAGUUUUGUAGUUAAUUUGUAUAAUGUUCAAUUCUGUUUUGUGUUUGUUUUAUAGUUAUUGUUGUGUUUUCUUUUGUUGUUAAACUGUUUUUUUUUUGUACCUGGUUACAGGUGGAUUCUAUUUUUUUAAUUUUUUUUAUGGUUGUGUAUCUGGGUUCUUGUAGAUUUGUAGUUAAUUUGCAUAAUCUUAAAUUCUGUUUUGUGUUUGUUUUAUUGUUAUUGCUGUGUUUUUUUUUGUUGUUAAGCUGUUUUAUUAUUUUUUGGUACCUGGUUUCAUGUGUACCUGGUUACAUAUGUACCUGGUUACUUUACAGAUAACAGUGAACGAUGUUGCUUAAUGAGUUUUGAACUUGUUUACCUUAGUGAAUGAAUUGUUUUUUUUUUAUAUGUAUAUUUAAACCAUACAAAGUUAAAUACAUAUAAGUCGUUUUAUAAAUGUAAAGUACUUAUAAAUUUUUCAUGUUUAUAUUUUUUGAAACUGGUUGCAUGUUUAA